UGCUGUCAAAGUUGAAUGAAUUGGGC
rnacentral:piRNA from 1 species